rnacentral:rRNA from 1 species
CCUUUGUACACACCGCCCGUCGCUACUACCGAUUGAAUGGCUCAGUGAGGCCUUCGGACUGGCUCGGGGAGGUUGGCAACGACCACCCCGAGCCGGAAAGUUCGUCAAACUCGGUCAUUUAGAGGAAGUAAAAGUCGUAACAAGGUUUCCGUAGGUGAACCUGCGGAAGGAUCAUUA